GACAUCUCCGCACCAAACACACAGCUUGUGGGUGCCUCACAGCCUCUGGCCCACCAUGACCGCAAAGUCAGCUCCAGAAGUCGUGGAUUAUCUGCGGAGAAGCCACUACGUGCCGCACCAACUGUUUCCACAGGCAACGAAGGCUCCGAUAAACUCAGGAGGCCUUGGGACAAGCCGCAGAUGACUUGUUUAUGAGACAAGAACAUGUGAAGCCCUAAUAACUGGAUACAAUUCCUGUCUCUUUAGUUGCAAGGGAAACCGUGCCCUUCCUUGGGCUCAGUGGCUCCCUUGGCAGCUGAGCACCCUUGGUAUGUGUCUCUGGAGUCAAGUGCUGGGAUUGGCUGGUGAAACCCACUCCAUCCCUCAAAGAACAGAGUACAGCUUGCCUCAAGUCCCAGGAAAUGUGGGGAUAAAAGAACAGUGUUACCAAGUCCAACUCCACUUCUAUCUCCACUCUGUGACUAAUUUCUUUGUAUCUUUGACGAAUGUGUUCUGCUUGAAGCAGGUCUUAGCCUUCAAGGUGUAUGUACGUUUGUAAUUCUUGAACUCAUUUGAAUUUCACC
rnacentral:lncRNA from 1 species